rnacentral:rRNA from 1 species
GUUGAACGCUGCGGCGGGCUUAACACAUGCAAGUCGAGCGAGCGGCGGACGGGUGAGUAAUGCUUAGGAGUCUGCCUAUUAGUGGUGGACAACAUCCCGAAAGGGAUGAUAAUACCGCAUACUAGUAGAUGAGCCUAAGUCGGAUUAUCUAGUUGGUGGGGUAAAGGCCUACCAAGGCGACGAUCUGUAGCGGGUCUGAGAGGAUGAUCCGCCACACGUGGACUGAGACACGGCCCAGACGCCUACGGGAGGCAGCAGUGGGGAAUAUUGGACAAUGGGGGGAACCCUGAUCCAGCCAUGCCGCGUGUGUGAAGAAGGCCUUAUGGUUGUAAAGCACUUUAAGCGAGGAGGCGUUACUCGCAGAAUAAGCACCGGCUAACUCUGUGCCAGCAGCCGCGGUAAUUC